AUGGUUAAGUUAGAAAGGGCGCACGGUGGAUGCCUUGGCACUAGGAGCCGAUGAAGGACGGGACGAACACCGAUAUGCUUCGGGGAGCUGUAAGCAAGCUUUGAUCCGGAGAUUUCCGAAUGGGGAAACCCACUGCUCGUAAUGGAGUAGUAUCCAU
rnacentral:rRNA from 1 species